rnacentral:misc_RNA from 1 species
GAUGAAGAACGUAGCGAAAUGCGAUAAGUAAUGUGAAUUGCAGAAUUCAGUGAAUCAUCGAAUCUUUGAACGCACCUUGCGCUCCUUGGCAUUCCGAGGAGCAUGCCUGUUUGAGUGUCAUUAAAUUCUCAAGACCUGUCUGCUUUUUUGAUAGGUAUUGGAUUUUGGGGGUUGCAGGCUGUUUCAAAUAAAUAGCCUUGCUCUCCUUGAAUGUAUUAGUGGAGAAAAGCCAUUGAACUCCAUUGGUGUGAUAAAACCUAUCAAUGCCAGGAGCAAUAUCACUACUUCUCUCUGCUGUCUAACUGUGACUGUCUGUAUUAAUUAGUAUGGAUGGGGACAACUUGACCAACUUGACCUCAAAUCAGGUAGGACUACCCGCUGAACUUAAGCAUAUCAAUAAGAGGAGGA